CUGCGCCUGUUGAAAAAUAGGGAAAUUGAAAGAUGACGCCAAGUUUCCUGAUCAAUACAAGAUCACUUUUUGACAACAGAAAGGGGGACGUGAAACACGUGAACAGUUCAUCUGUCUGUCUGUCGGCCUGGCUGGAAGGUUUGGUUUUCCCCACUCAAGGUCAGGGACAGUGAAAGACCACACUCAGCUGUCAGCUUUAGAGGUCUUCAGAGUGGACUGGAGGAUGUGUUACAAUCAGCAGAGGGCAGAAGACAGCUGCGCAACAUACACACACAAACACACACUUAGACACACAAAGCAACUCAAAGUCUGACCCCCACGCACAUGUCACACACUCACUAUCCUGCACAAAUACACACAGAGGCAGUGAUGUGCAGCUGAUGGAGCUUGUGUUUAACAUGUGAUGGGUAAAAGAGGAAAUGAAAAGGAGAGCGGGUGCUUGGAGGCUUGAUGCUCUUUGCUGUGGCUGCUUGCUUCAGUCACACUGAGAUCAACUCAUUUCACAGCUAAGUGCCCUGAUUGACUGUGUGUGUUUGUGUGGUGUAAAUCCUCCCCUCUGAAAACAGAACAUUGAUGAUACAAAUCUAAACCCCUAAUGUGCUCAGUGACAUUUAGCAGAGCUCAUUGCCAACCAUUUUCAGAUUAUUAUUUGAUACUAUUUAAAGAUCAAAGCUCAUACAAAAUCAUGUAAACACAGUUUUUGUUUAUUUUUUUUUACUCAACUGACUCCAAUGAAUCUGUAGAAACCUUGAUGUCACUGAUAGGGGCAUAUG